CCUACGGGAGGCAGCAGUGGGGAAUAUUGGACAAUGGGCGAAAGCCUGAUCCAGCAAUGCCGCGUGAGUGAUGAAGGCCUUCGGGUCGUAAAGCUCUUUUACCAGGGAUGAUAAUGACAGUACCUGGAGAAUAAGCUCCGGCUAACUCCGUGCCAGCAGCCGCGGUAAUACGGAGGGAGCUAGCGUUGUUCGGAAUUACUGGGCGUAAAGAGUACGUAGGCGGUUAUUCAAGUCAGAGGUGAAAGCCCGGGGCUCAACCCCGGAACUGCCUUUGAAACUAGAUAACUAGAGUCUUGGAGAGGUUAGUGGAAUUCCGAGUGUAGAGGUGAAAUUCGUAGAUAUUCGGAAGAACACCAGUGGCGAAGGCGACUAACUGGACAAGUACUGACGCUGAGGUACGAAAGCGUGGGGAGCAAACAGGAUUAGAUACCCUGGUAGUCCACGCCGUAAACGAUGAUAACUAGUUGUUCGGUCACUUGGUGACUGAGUGACGCAGCUAACGCAUUAAGUUAUCCGCCUGGGGAAUCGGUCGCAAGNUUAAAACNAAAGAUGACGNNGNGANGCGAGNGACACGAGGAGAG
rnacentral:rRNA from 1 species